rnacentral:piRNA from 1 species
UGCAAGACGUUCACCCUCAAAAGAGGUUA